rnacentral:rRNA from 1 species
UACAGAGGUCUCGAGCGUUAGGCGGAAUCACUGGGCUUAAAGCGUGUGUAGGCGGAUCCGUAAGUACCUUGUGAAAUCCCACGGCUCAACCGUGGAACUGCUGGGUAUACUGCGGGUCUUGAGCCACCUAGGGGCGAGCGGAACAAGUGGUGGAGCGGUGAAAUGCGUAGAUAUCACUUGGAACGCCAAUGGUGAAAACAGCUCGCUGGGGGUGUGCUGACGCUGAGACACGAAAGCCAGGGGAGCAAACGGG